rnacentral:rRNA from 1 species
GUAGGGAAUAUUGGGCAAUGGAUGCAAGUCUGACCCAGCCAUCCCGCGUGCCGGAAGAAGGCCCUCAGGGUUGUAAACGGCUUUUGACGGUGAAGAGCCGACAGGAUGCGUCCUGUUUUGACGGUAGCCGUUGAAUAAGCACCGGCUAACUCCGUGCCAGCAGCCGCGGUAAUACGGAGGGUGCGAGCGUUGUCCGGAUUUAUUGGGUUUAAAGGGUGCGUAGGCUGGAAGGUCAGUCAGCGGUGAAAAGCUAUCGCUUAACGAUAGUCUUGCCGCAGAUACUUCCUUUCUUGGAUGAGGAGGAGGCCACUGGAACGGAUGGUGUAGCGGUGAAAUGCAUAGAUAUCAUCCAGAACACCGAUUGCGAAGGCAGGUGGCUGUACCUUAAUCGACGCUGAUGCACGAAAGCAUGGGGAGCAAACAGGAUUAGAAACCCGAGUAGUCC